UGUGCCUACUUUAUGGUGAGAUUAAAUCUCAUCUUAACCACAUUAUGGGGACCAUGUCAAUAUGAGAAAUUGGAUAAAACUAAAAAGGUCUAUUUUUUCCUAAUAAUUUUUUUUUCUUUUUUUUUUUUGCCUAGAUGGUUAAAAAAAAAAAGAGUAUAAGUUUCCUUAACAUUAUUAUUAUUUAGACUGAUAAUGAAAAUAAUAGCCCUUUCCUGCC
rnacentral:lncRNA from 1 species